rnacentral:rRNA from 1 species
GACGAACGCUGGCGGCGUGCCUAAUACAUGCAAGUAGAACGCAGUUGCGAACGGGUGAGUAACGCGUAGGUAACUGCCUGGUAGCGUGGGAUAACUAUUGGAAACGCUAGCUAAUACCGCAUACUACCAGAUGGACCUGCGUUGUAUUAGCUAGUUGGUGGGGUAACGGCUCACCAAGGCAACGAUACCUAGCCGACCUGAGAGGGUGGUCGGCCAAAAUGGGACUGGGGAACUGCCCAGACUCCUACGGGGGGGAGCAGUAGGGAAUCUUGGGGAAUGGACGGAAGUCUGACCGGGCAACGCCGGGGGAGUGAAGAAGGUUUUCGGAUCGUAAAGCUCUGUUGUAAGGGAAGCGGUAUCUUACCAGAAAGGGACGGCUAACUACGUGCCAGCAGCCGCGGUAAUUC